ACUCCUGCGUCUGCAGAGACGCUAGGAUGGAUGAGUUAUUUCACGGGGCGAACACCAGCCCCUGACUCUUCCAAAGUCUCCUGUUUCAUCUCUGCAGAGACCCUCUGGCUGCAGAGAGUGCAGUGACUCGGCGGCAGCUCACGCUACGGAAGAAGAACAUCUGGACGACGGCCGAAUCUCCCCUCUCUUCCUCGGCGAGUUUAGACUUCGUGGGACACUCCGGGAACUUCGCGAAACUGAUGUGCUAUGCAUCGGAGACGCUGUCAACCCGUCAAUAAGAACUUCAGGUCUCCUGAAUGGAGAAAAUCAUCUAUUUUGACGCAGAAAAUCAUAUACGUUGGUAGAGUAAAUCAUCCACGUUGGCAGAUAAAAUUAGAGCGGUUGCUCUGAAAAUGAGCAUUGAAACCAUGUGGAAACAUCUGCCCCACCUAGCUCAGCAGUUCAGGACCAGAAGUGAGUCAACAAUGUGAGAGGGACCAGAUCGACCAGAUCAGGAUGCGUAAAAGGAAAAGCAAAAGGAAGAGAAAGAAGAAGAGGAAGAAGAAGCGGAAAAGGAAGCCCAACUGGAAGAACAUUCUUCGAAGAUGGUUACAAAGGUCGGUCAAAUAUUCUACAGUAACAGCCCCUCGAUUGCGUUAAUCAAUGCCUUAGUGUCUAGCCUUAGCUCAUCUGGGGUCUUGAGAGAAGAUCAAAAGGAGGACAAGAAAUAUAAGGAGGAUUUGGGGAAGCAUCCCUAAAAUCCUACAAAAACUGAGCAGGUGAUUUCUACACUGACAAGCUGAGUGAUGAUUUCUGUAACCCCUCAGGAGAAUAUGGCCUGGAAUAAGGUCAUCAAUCCUCAGUAAGAGAGCUGUUCUGUAGUUCUUACAAGACUAUUAAGUCCACCCCCUCUCAUUUAACAGAUGGAGAAUCCAUCUUGGGAAUUACUUGCCCAAAAAUCACAAAUGGGGCAAAGGUGGGAUUUGAACUCAGUCUUCUGACUUCAAGUCCAAGGUUAUUUUGAAGGGACCUUAGAGAUACUCUGGUCCUACUCUGUAAAUUUGCAGCUGGUGAACCUGAGGCCUUUAGGGCAAAAUGGCCUGAGCUCCUGGUCUGCUACUAAUUGGCUCUAUUGUAGAAGUAAGCAUCCCAGCAUGCUUACAAAUAAUACAUGUACCUGGGUCUAAAGCAUUUGAUUUCCUGGCAUUUCUAAAGAUAGAGACAGAUCAUUUUGUCUAAACUGGGUGAGCAGCUUUGGUGUCACUGCUACUCUGGGCUCAGGCAGCUGCCAGGCAGUGAAAGGAAUCAGGACCAUGGAGCAAUGUGGUCUCUCCAGGGAGCCACACCCUAUUUUUCGGCCCAAGACCAUUUUCCUCAAUGGAGCAUUGGCUCCUGAAAACCAUUGUGCCUAAUGGGGCAUUGGCUCCUAGAAACGAUUGUGCUUAAUGGGGCAUUGGCUCCUAGAAACCAUUGUGCCUAACGGGGCAUUGGCUCCGAGUGGCUCCAGGUAUGCUCCGGGAGGGGCUCUGGAGUCACAGACACUGUAGGCUGAACUCCCUCUUUGGACGGCUGAGUGAAGCCUGUUAAAGAGUCGGUUGCUCAGGGAGAGGGAGGGAUAAUGCCAGAGUUGUCACUAGACUACUGAUUUCAUUCAUUAUGUCACUUCCCCGUUCAGACUUUCCAGUGGUUCCCUAUUCCUAGCAGGAUCAAAUCCAGAUUCGUUAGGCUGUGGGCCACACUGCAGUCCCAUACUCUCUUUUCCAACCCUAGCUCCCUUCCUUCAAAUGAUUCAACACUUCAAGGAUCUGUCAUUUCACUGGUGUGGGAACUCCUUCCACUGAUACAAGUUGUAGCUCCCUCUGUGGCUUAGCUGAUGCUCUUUGAGAAGUACUGCUUCCAAAAACUUUCAUCACCAUAAGGCCAACCUGGCCCUAAGUCUUAAUGAACUUAGCUUGGCUGGUCCUCAGACGAUGGUCCAUGCGUGGCCCAUCCUUGGAGACCUGGCAGGGGAGCUUGUCCCCCUAGCCCCUGGGGCACAGACUUCAAGGAUUCCCAGUCACCUUCUGCAUGAGACCUCUGAAGAGGGUGACUAGAGUUGAGCUUCACAGAGGAACCUUAUCAUCUUUCAAAGGCUCAGCUCAAGCCCUACAUCCUCCAUGAAGCCUUCCCUGACCCACACAGUCUCAGGGGACCUCUCCCUCUUCUGAACUCAAACAGCACUUGUCUGUACUGUAUUGUUUGCUUGGCACUCACAUCAUAUACUGUCCAGUGAGUGUUCUAUUGUUGUCUUGUAUUGUUACUCAGCUUAACCUAUGUGUGAGCCUGGGCUCCCUUUCCAAAUGGUGAGCUCCAGCUUGUGUUGAGGGCCGGGAACGUGCUUUAUAUGUCUUUGUAGCUCCCAGGGUGAAUGUAGUCUAGCAUUGGGCUAGGCACAUAGUUCUCUUGGGUUGAUACUUAUUGUUAUUAUUGUUUUAGGCUGGGUUAUUAUUUCUUUGGUUAAGGUCCUAAAAGUAAAAUACUUUCUUCUGGACCUUAGAGAAGCUCAUAAACAUCUCAGCCUUUGGAAUCUUCAACAUUGCUGAACUGUAUUUCCCUUUGGGAUUGAGUCCUUCCUUGUUAGCAAGAGAGGCAUGUACGAUGGAGGGAAAAUGGUUGUGGGAAGACUGUGCCAAGUGAAUGUGUACCAUUGGGUGGAAGUGACAGGGAGAAAUAUUGUAGCCUGGUACAAGGAACAACAUUCCUGACAGUCAGAGCUGGCCUGCAGUGGAUCAACAGGCCUCAGGAAGGACUGUAAGCUUCCUGACACUGGAAGUAUUCAAACAGAGGCUCAGAGAAGCUCCCCUUCCACCACCCCACCCCCCAGCAAUAUCAUAGAGUGGGAAGAUGGACUAGAUCACUUCAAAAAUCCUUCCCACUUCUGAGUCUUUACUUAAACCCUUCAAACAUAUUGUGGGUAUUCCCAACAAAUGUUGUGACCCCGCUACAAACUUAGAAGCGGGUCUUUAGAGAGUUGCUGUGGGCAAAUUUGUAAGAUGUUCCUCAGCCAACAGACCUAUGGUACUGCACAGGAGCCUGUCCUGAGAGUCUCCGAUUUUAUAAUAAGGGACACAUGACAGAGUGUCCUGUGAUAUGUCACAGCAUUCAGCAGUUGUGAGGGGCAGAGCUGGGCCAUCACAGAAAGGAAAGUCCACAAGCCAAGGGCUUUGCUUGGACUCUAGAAUAAGGGAAGGGGGUUGUUUUUUAGGGAGACAAAAAAAUCUCUCCAACAGCACCAAGCUUGCUGCUGCUGUCUGAGGACUGACAGCUGGACAUCUCUCCGUCUCCCCCUUCCCGCCUCCUCUUUGCUCGCUCUUCCCUGGUUGAGCUCCUUUUUGGAAGGACUUUCCAAUUUGUUCAGGGGCUGUGCUUGAAAAGGCACUGGCUAGAAUAUGGCCCAAGACACCUAUAACCAAGCCUCUGCAAUCAGAGACGUGAUUCUUGCCCCUCUUUGGGAAUAUUGUGACACUGGCAUGUGUGACUUUCCAGGUGGCUGCAAAGGCAACAAGAUUUCUUGGGCCGGGGAUAUGAGUAGCAAAGGAGGAGCAGGAGACUCUCCUACCUAGAAAAGGGUCCUCCCCUGGUCCUGAAAGCCAAUCUGACCAUGAUAACAAGGACAGCACCUAUUAUAAGAAGAGGUCAUUCUUUCAAAAAUUGCAAGUCAAGCCAUGCCUCCUGACACCAGCUAUGGGCAGAAAUCUGGUAGAAUCCGAUUAGUAUAGAAAGUAAGCAUUAGCCUUGUGCCUUCUCCCUUUUGGACUGCUGGUUUUAGCCUAUCCUUCCUUUUUAACACCAGCAAGAUAUAGGAGUUUGGUUGUAUAUACCAAUAGUAUUGCAACUUGUAUUCAGUGAGUUUCUUUCAUCCAGGGAGCGCAUCAAGUUCAUACCUACCACCUUAGGGAUAUUUAAAACACCUACUUCAAGGUAGAAGAAGCAGCAAUAGUCGACCUUCUUCUGUUUCAGCAUUAAACAAUUCAUUGUAACCAAGAGAAACAAAAAAUAGCCAUUAAUUGAUUGAUUCAGAGAGGGAAUGCAACAUGCUGUGCCCAUAGCUGUCCAAUUCUCAGCCAAGAGAGGAAGGCAUAUUUCAGUAUCUGGUCUUUGGAACCAAGAAGAGUCAUUAUAACUAUGCAGAGUUUGGGUUCCUUUUUUCAUUCUUUUCAUUUAUUGUAUAUACAUAUAUAUGCAUAUAUAUAUAUAUAUUCUUCUCUUGAAUACGCUCACUUGAUUGCAUCAGUUUCUAGAGGUCUUCCCGUGUUUCUUGGGAUUCCUUGCAUUAGUUCUUUCAUAUGACACAACAAUUUCACAUUACAUGGGUACUGGAAAACAGUUUCUUCAGCCAUUCCCUGAAUGAAGGGCACGUAGUAUAUUUUCCAUUCUGUACUUAAAAACAAAUAUACAGCUCCUCUAUCAAGUUUAGGUGAAAUGGGCAUGAUCAGAACCAUUGCAGUUCCACACUAAAUCUGCUUUGUAGUAGGGGAAAACAGUUAGGCAUUAGCAACUCCAAAGUCACCCUGGCUGACAGUGUAGACAAUAGUAUGUAACUAUAGACCCAAACCUCUCAUCCCAAGGAGGGGAAGAAUAGUGCAUUAUCUGCUUUCUACAAUCAAGGCAGGUCAUUACAAUUUGCCAGAGGUUAGCUUCUUUUUGGUGUUUGUUUUUCCAUUUAGAUGAUUGUAGUCAUUGUAUAUAUUCUGCUCCUCAUUGAGCUUACUUCACUCAUAAGAUCAAAGAAUUCUUUAAGUGUUUCUUGAUGUCCUAAUAUUACUCCUUUUUCCUGUACAAUAAUAUGUUACGUUCGUACGUGAGGACAUGAUUUACUCACCCAUUCCUCUAGGGGAAGGCACCCGGGUUGUUUCCAAUUCUUUACUACAAAGUAUAUUGACAGCACCUAUAAAAAGGUAGAAAGAGCAGGUAUGGUCGUCCCCACUGGAAAUCCAUCGUGAACAUGCCUUGUAGCAAAGAAAAAUUGAAGCAACAACAACCCAAAGGGUGACCCUGUCAGGCAACGAAUGUAAAAAGAGUGAAAUUGUUGAGCCCAAACUCUAAGACCAAAAGAGAAAGGCAUGGUUCAAUAUCUACUAUUGGGAAAAAAAAGGUCUUGAAAAUUACACAGAGCUUAGUUUCUUUUUUACUUAUAUAUUACUGUAAAUGGUGAAUAUAUUUUUAUUUUAUACCUAUAUUCUUUAUAUGUUUGUUAAAAAUCUUCCAGGGAUUCUCAAAAUUCCUGACCUUUUCAUAAUCUUCUUAUGAAAUAGUAUUGUGUUAUAAUCAUAAAGAAAGGCUUCCUCAAAAUAUUCUCUUCCUUUACCUACUUAUGGCAUUCAUUGAACUGACAAUAGUUUUAGGGGGAAAAAAGUAAACAAAGCUCCACCCAAGUCUCAACACACAGGGAGGAAGGUGUCAUGUUUUCUUAUUUGUUCUUUGGAAUCUAAAUUAUUCUUUGUAAAUACACAGGAAAGGAAUUCUUCUUCAUUCUUUCUUCCUUUUAUAUAGUGUAGUCAAUAUGUGGGCAGAAAUCUAUCAAUCAUGCUUCAUCUAGAAGGCUUACUGGUUUGUUUCCACUUCUAUGAUUGAGCAUACAUUAACAAAAUCUUGAUUCAGGUAGGAGGAGGCCAUUCCCAUGUACCACCAUGAACCUGCCCUUUAGCAAAACAAACAAAAGAGGUGAGAAAAAAAAAUCACAGCAAAAGAGAACCCAUAUGAGUAAAAAGGCACCAAAAUUUAAAAGGAAUGAACCCCAGGUGUCAUUCCAGGGGAAUUUCUUGUUGCCUUUUACCUGUUCUAUCACAUACAAACUAGACACUGUGUUGGAAACUAGAGGUCGAUAUAAUUACUCAGUCCACAGUUUGUUUUUUUGUCUCUUUAUCCGUUAGCAAAAGCAACCACUGUACAGACAAAAACUGGCUGUCCAGAAUUGUUCGGAUUUAGGGACUCCAGCUCAAUUCCACAUAGUAGUCAGAAAGUAUAUUAAUUCUGACUUAAAAAGGUCAAAUGAGCAAGGUUGUUUACACUUAUGUAACUGACACCUUGAAUAUUAAUAGAAAAAGAAGAAAAAAUUAAUCAAUAGCUCAGGAAAAAGUGACCAAGUCUGAAAGAGAGGGGAUUAUUUGGAUUCAAAUUGCCUUAAAUCUCUGCACAUAGAAGGAAAAAAGAUUCCUAACUAAGUCACAGGAAACAAUAAUGUUAACGAUAAAAAAGAAAGAACCCAAAACUCAGAGAACUACUUGAUCUUACUUAUCAAACAAAAAUAAAUGUAAAAAAAUCACUAGAUAGGUGUUGUUACAUUGAUACUAAGGGCAAUCAAAUAAGUCUAGUUAAAGGAAAAAGGAUUAAAAGAGGGAUACAUUUGGAUAUGGAAUUCUUUAAAUUGGGUCAUUGACAAAGAAAAAUAUUUCAAAAGUAACAAAGGAAAAAGUAAGCAUCUCUUCUAGGGUGAGUAUUAUUGAAGCUGAAGUGGCCCACAUAUAAAACAAACCAGGUGGCAUGUAUUUUUAAAAAUUUACUCGGGGCAGCUAGGUGGCGCAGUGGAUAAAAUACCGGCCCUGGAUUCAGGAGUUCCUGAGUUAAAAUCCGGCCUCAGACACUUGACACUUACUAGCUGUGUGACCCCAGGCAAGUCACUUAACCCCCAUUGCCCUGCAAAAAAAAAAAAAAAAAAAAAAUUACUCAAUGCCCUCUUGCCAGCUCUA